rnacentral:rRNA from 1 species
UACGGGGGGGAGCAAGCGUUGUUCGGAUUUACUGGGCGUAAAGGGCGCGUAGGCGGCGUGACUAGUCACUUGUGAAAUCUCCGGGCUUAACUCGGAACGGUCAAGUGAUACUGUCGUGCUAGAGUACAGAAGGGGCAAGUGGAAUUCCCGGUGUAGUGGUGAUAUGCGUAGAUAUCGGGAGGAACACCAGUGGCGAAGGCGGCUCUCUGGGCCUUUCCUGACGCUGAGACGCGAAAGCGUGGGGAGCGAACCGG